GGGCGUAAAGAGCUCGUAGGUGGUUUGUCGCGUUGUUCGUGAAAUCUCACGGCUUAACUGUGAGCGUGCGGGCGAUACGGGCAGACUUGAGUACUGCAGGGGAGACUGGAAUUCCUGGUGUAGCGGUGGAAUGCGCAGAUAUCAGGAGGAACACCGGUGGCGAAGGCGGGUCUCUGGGCAGUAACUGACGCUGAGGAGCGGAAGCGUGGGGAGCGAACAGGGUUAGAUACCCUGGUAGUCCACGCCGUAAACGGUGGGUACUAGGUGUGGGUUUCCUUCCUUGGGAUCCGUGCCGUAGCUAACGCAUUAAGUACCCCGCCUGGGGAGUACGGCCGCAAGGCUAAAACUCAAAGAAAUUGACGGGGGCCCGCACAAGCGGCGGAGCAUGUGGAUUAAUUCGAUGCAACGCGAAGAACCUUACCUGGGUUUGACAUGCACAGGACGCCGGCAGAGAUGUCGGUUCCCUUGUGGCCUGUGUGCAGGUGGUGCAUGGCUGUCGUCAGCUCGUGUCGUGAGAUGUUGGGUUAAGUCCCGCAACGAGCGCAACCCUUGUCUCAUGUUGCCAGCGGGUAAUGCCGGGGACUCGUGAGAGACUGCCGGGGUCAACUCGGAGGAAGGUGGGGAUGACGUCAAGUCAUCAUGCCCCUUAUGUCCAGGGCUUCACACAUGCUACAAUGGCCGGUACAAAGGGCUGCGAUGCCGCGAGGUUAAGCGAAUCCUUUUAAAGCCGGUCUCAGUUCGGAUCGGGGUCUGCAACUCGACCCCGUGAAGUCGGAGUCGCUAGUA
rnacentral:rRNA from 1 species